GGGGAAUUUUCCGCAAUGGGCGAAAGCCUGACGGAGCAAUACCGCGUGAGGGAGGAAGGCUCUUGGGUUGUAAACCUCUUUUCUCAGGGAAUAAGAACUGAAGGUACCUGAGGAAUCAGCAUCGGCUAACUCCGUGCCAGCAGCCGCGGUAAUACGGAGGAUGCAAGCGUUAUCCGGAAUGAUUGGGCGUAAAGCGUCCGCAGGUGGUUUAUCAAGUCUGCUGUCAAAGAGUUUGGCUCAACCAAAUAAAGGCAGUGGAAACUGACAGGCUGGAGUGCGGUAAGGGCAGAGGGAAUUCCUGGUGUAGCGGUGAAAUGCGUAGAGAUCAGGAAGAACACCGGUGGCGAAAGCGCUCUGCUGGGCCGUAACUGACACUGAGGGACGAAAGCUAGGGGAGCGAAUGGGC
rnacentral:rRNA from 1 species